GUCUAAUAUACAUGACAAAGAAUAACUCAUCUUAAAAGUUAUAAUACUUACACAUGUUGAUAUAGUACUAUGUUAUACAACUUACACAAGUCACAACGACACUAGUUGAAAUUAAACAAAGCAAAAUAGUGCAAUAUGAAUAAGAUGUUGACAUAAUUAGUUCCCAGGAUUUUGUGACUAUACAUUAGGAACUAAAUAAUUAAUUAAUGAAUGAAAAUUGGUCAUGAAUUAACGGUAAACAUUCUAAUACAUUUUUAUAAAAUACAUUUUAUGAAAAUCAAACACUAAAGACGUGAGUAUAAUCCGGGCAGUUAGCCACGAUUGCGACAUGAGAAUUUGACAUUUGGCGAUAAAAGUAGGGGACACACUGUAGUGUCACGCAGCCAAUGGAAGCUGCUACAGGGUCGGCUGGACAAACACUAUUGUGCUAAAAGCCUAAAACAUAACCCUUUUUUCGUUUUUACAAACGAGUCCCAAGUGGUCACAGCUUCACUUUGUAGCCCGAUACAAUUUAACCCCUUUUGACAUGUUGCCCAACCCGUCUAACCCAAAGUUUAAUAUUAGCAACACGACAGUAGCCAUACUACAACUUUUACAAUGAAGUCAAGUAUGAUCAUUUAUAUUAAUCAAAAAGCAUAUAAGGAUAGAAACGAUUCUUUAGCAACAAACCUACAAUAUACAUGUUUUCCUUUAAAACAAAAUUUUUGGGAUCCAUGUUGGAAACUCUCUUAACACUUACUUUCAGUAUAAAUAAUAUAGAAGAAUAUAUGGGGGGAUUGUUAGUACAAGUUAAGUUUUGUUUUAUGAGCUUAAAACAUAACUUGAUGUAACAAAUAUGAAGGUUUGAUAGUAUAUAAAUGGGAUAAGUAUCCUGAGAUGUAACAAACUUUGGACGAAUGUCAAUAGUAGGAAAUAACUAAAGUUUUGUGUAUUGUAUUGUAUGCUAACAACUUUGUGGGAAACAUAGUUUAUAAAGCUCAUCUCAUUUGGCGAUCUAACCAUUGUCUAAAAUUGAUCUAUACGCUUGUUCCCGGGAUGGCAAUGGAUCGGAUGUUGUCAUACCCAUAUCCAUUUAUUUAUCUUCGAUUGUAAAAACUUGAAAGAAAUAAAAUCUUUUGCGUCCCCCAACAUUCUUGUUGCUGCUUUAUCUCCGAUCCUCAGACCUUUCAGAAAGUGACAUCACCACAAGAAAUGAAUAUCAUGUUAUGGAAGAUAAAGACAGGAGAAUCAGUUUAUACUUUAAGUCAGAAGAACAUCAGUACAUGACUAGGGCAACAUGGCCAACAAUCAGAUUUAGCUCUGAUGAAGCAGUUGCUUCUCGUAUAACAAAUGCGCUACUGUUCUUUAAUGCUGUUAAGCCCGUAGUUUUCUUCCUCCCCUCUGUUUUGGCUCUCCAAUUCUGGUGCUGGGGGACCGUCACACUCGAACUCCUGUGUUUUGCACACUUGUAUUUGUUUAUGUAAUGAAUUUCAAGCGCCUAUGAAUUAGUUCCCGGAGAACAGAGGUGUCUUUCUAUUUAGAAACCAAGGACCAUAAGAAUAGUUAGACACUUCAUCUUUCCAAAGGCAUUGUACACAAGAUCAGAAUUCCUGGAAUAGCUUCAGCAAAGCUAUCUAAGAAACUGGGAUCGCAUGUGGCUAUGUUUGUUUCAGAAUCGAAGGUAACCAAGAGAACCCAAGAGCUUGAUGUGCAUUUGCUAGAAGUUAGACUUGGACUAUGGAUCCACGAUUCAUUACCCGAUGAUGGGACUUGCUUAGGAUCAUUAGUCAUCUUUGGAUGUUAUUUUAUAAACUUUUGAUGGUUUUAUGCUCCUCAUGCUUUUGUGACAUUGUGUAUUAAAUGUUGGGUUCACGGAAUCCUUUUGAAUUCAUAUAUAGUCUCGUGCUACGAUGAUUCCAUCUUGGGUCAUGCUUUUCGGUGCAUCUUGAGCCUAGCUCGGGGUGUUACAUCUUGGCAUACUCAUGAAAUGCUAAUGCAAAAAUGCAAUCUAGUCGAUUGUUUCCUUGACA